rnacentral:ncRNA from 1 species
GGGAGCCGUACGAGGUGAAAAUCUCAUGUACGGUUUUGUAAUAGAGAUGGGAACAGUAAUCUAUUACAC